rnacentral:rRNA from 1 species
GCUACACAUGCAGUCGAGCGGUAACAGAAAGUAGCUUGCUACUUUGCUGACGAGCGGCGGACGGGUGAGUAAUGCUUGGGAACAUGCCUUGAGGUGGGGGACAACAGUUGGAAACGACUGCUAAUACCGCAUAAUGUCUACGGACCAAAGGGGGCUUCGGCUCUCGCCUUUAGAUUGGCCCAAGUGGGAUUAGCUAGUUGGUGAGGUAAUGGCUCACCAAGGCAACGAUCCCUAGCUGGUUUGAGAGGAUGAUCAGCCACACUGGAACUGAGACACGGUCCAGACUCCUACGGGAGGCAGCAGUGGGGAAUAUUGCACAAUGGGCGCAAGCCUGAUGCAGCCAUGCCGCGUGUGUGAAGAAGGCCUUCGGGUUGUAAAGCACUUUCAGUCAGGAGGAAAGNUUAGNAGUUAAUACCUGCUAGUUGUGACGUUACUGACAGAAGAAGCACCGGCUAACUCCGUGCCAGC